rnacentral:rRNA from 1 species
UAGGGAAUCUUCGGCAAUGGACGAAAGUCUGACCGAGCAACGCCGCGUGAGUGAAGAAGGUUUUCGGAUCGUAAAACUCUGUUGUUAGAGAAGAACAAGGACGUUAGUAACUGAACGUCCCCUGACGGUAUCUAACCAGAAAGCCACUGCUAACUACGUGCCAGCAGCCGCGGUAAUACGUAGGUGGCAAGCGUUGUCCGGAUUUAUUGGGCGUAAAGCGAGCGCAGGCGGUUUCUUAAGUCUGAUGUGAAAGCCCCCGGCUCAACCGGGGAGGGUCAUUGGAAACUGGGAGACUUGAGUGCAGAAGAGGAGAGUGGAAUUCCAUGUGUAGCGGUGAAAUGCGUAGAUAUAUGGAGGAACACCAGUGGCGAAGGCGGCUCUCUGGUCUGUAACUGACGAUGAGGCUCGAAAGCGUGGGGAGCAAACAGG